UGGGGAAUAUUGCACAAUGGGCGAAAGCCUGAUGCAGCGACGCCGCGUGAGGGAUGACGGCCUUCGGGUUGUAAACCUCUUUCAGUAGGGACGAAGCGCAAGUGACGGUACCUGCAGAAGAAGCACCGGCUAACUACGUGCCAGCAGCCGCGGUAAUACGUAGGGUGCGAGCGUUGUCCGGAAUUACUGGGCGUAAAGAGCUCGUAGGCGGUUUGUCACGUCGUCUGUGAAAUCCUAGGGCUUAACCUUGGACGUGCAGGCGAUACGGGCUGACUUGAGUACUACAGGGGAGACUGGAAUUUCUGGUGUAGCGGUGGAAUGCACAGAUAUCAGGAAGAACACCGAUGGCGAAGGCAGGUCUCUGGGUAGUAACUGACGCUGAGGAGCGAAAGCAUGGGUAGCGAACAGG
rnacentral:rRNA from 1 species